GUAGAGUAGGCCCGUCCUAUCCUAUCAUCUGUAUAAUCAAACAUGAAAAAAUACGAAUUGCUCUUCUUAUUUCAAAAUCUAGAAUUGGACUAUUUCUUAGUUAUAGUCCCUGGGACAUCCCAACUAGAAGGCUUCUAGAGACUCCAUUACUAUACUAUAAGUAGAUUAUAGAUCUACUAAUUCGAACUAGUUAGUGGAGAAGAA
rnacentral:lncRNA from 1 species